UACGAAGGGUGCUAGCGUUGUUCGGAAUCACUGGGCGUAAAGCGCGCGUAGGCGGCUAUGCAAGUCAGAGGUGAAAUACCCAGGCUCAACCUGGGAACUGCCUUUGAAACUGCAUAGCUAGAGUACUGGAGGGGUUGGCGGAAUUGCUAAUGUAGAGGUGAAAUUCGUAGAUAUUAGCAGGAACACCGGUGGCGAAGGCGGCCAACUGGACAGUCACUGACGCUGAGGCGCGAAAGCGUGGGGAUCAAACAGG
rnacentral:rRNA from 1 species